CAGUCGCCACGGUAAUACGUAGGUGGCAAGCGUUGUCCGGAAUUAUUGGGCGUAAAGGGCUCGCAGGCGGUUUCUUAAGUCUGAUGUGAAAGCCCCCGGCUCAACCGGGGAGGGUCAUUGGAAACUGGGAAACUUGAGUGCAGAAGAGGAGAGUGGAAUUCCACGUGUAGCGGUGGAAUGCGUAGAGAUGUGGAGGAACACCAGUGGCGAAGGCGACUCUCUGGUCUGUAACUGACGCUGAGGCGCGAAAGCCAGGGGAGCGAACGGGAUUAGAUACCCCAGUAGUCCCUGUCUCUUAUAC
rnacentral:rRNA from 1 species